rnacentral:rRNA from 1 species
UGCAAGUCGAGCGGAGUUGAUAGGAAGCUUGCUUCCUGGAUACUUAGCGGCGGACGGGUGAGUAACACGUAGGCAACCUGCCCUCAAGUUUGGGACAACUACCGGAAACGGUAGCUAAUACCGAAUAAUUGUUUUCUUCGCCUGAAGAGAACUGGAAAGACGGAGCAAUCUGUCACUUGGGGAUGGGCCUGCGGCGCAUUAGCUAGUUGGUGAGGUAACGGCUCACCAAGGCGACGAUGCGUAGCCGACCUGAGAGGGUGAUCGGCCACACUGGGACUGAGACACGGCCCAGACUCCUACGGGAGGCAGCAGUAGGGAAUCUUCCGCAAUGGGCGAAAGCCUGACGGAGCAAUGCCGCGUGAGUGAUGAAGGUUUUCGGAUCGUAAAGCUCUGUUGCCAGGGAAGAACGCUUGGGAGAGUAACUGCUCUCAAGGUGACGGUACCUGAGAAGAAAGCCCCGGCUAACUACGUGCCAGCAGCCGCGGUAAUACGUAGGGGGCAAGCGUUGUCCGGAAUUAUUGGGCGUAAAGCGCGCGCAGGCGGUCAUUUAAGUCUGGUGUUUAAUCCCGGGGCUCAACCCCGGAUCGCACUGGAAACUGG